rnacentral:piRNA from 1 species
UUCUCGAGUAUUCUGUGAUUUUUCUCUU